GAUGAACGCUGGCGGCGUGCCUAACACAUGCAAGUCGAGCGAUUUACUUCGGUAAAGAGCGGCGGACGGGUGAGUAACGCGUGGGUAACCUGCCCUGUACACACGGAUAACAUACCGAAAGGUAUGCUAAUACGAGAUAAUAUGCUUUUAUCGCAUGGUAGAAGUAUCAAAGCUUUUGCGGUACAGGAUGGACCCGCGUCUGAUUAGCUAGUUGGUGAGGUAACGGCUCACCAAGGCGACGAUCAGUAGCCGACCUGAGAGGGUGAUCGGCCACAGUGGAACUGGGACACGGUCAAAACUCCUACGGGAGGCAGCAGUGGGGAAUAUUGCACAAUGGGCGAAAGCCUGAUGCAGCAACGCCGCGUGAGCGAUGAAGGCCUUCGGGUCGUAAAGCUCUGUCCUCAAGGAAGAUAAUGACGGUACUUGAGGAGGAAGCCCCGGCUAACUACGUG
rnacentral:rRNA from 1 species